UACGUAGGGUGCGAGCGUUGUUCGGAUUCAUUGGGCGUAAAGAGCUCGUAGGCGGUUUGUCGCGUCUGCUGUGAAAAACGCGAGGCUCAACCUCGCGCCUGCAGUGGGUACGGGCAGACUAGAGUGCGGUAGGGGAGAUUGGAAUUCCUGGUGUAGCGGUGGAAUGCGCAGAUAUCAGGAGGAACACCGAUGGCGAAGGCAGAUCUCUGGGCCGUU
rnacentral:rRNA from 1 species